UUUAUAAUCAAAACUGAUCCACCCUGGUCACUUGGUGUUAAAAACCAAACAACCAUUAGUUUCUGUAGUUUUUGCCCAAAGUGUGUCUUAUGUGGCAACAUUAAAAUUGCUUAUGCAAGAUACUUAUUACUAUCCAUAGUAAAUUUAAUUCAGAAUGCAGUUAUUGAGACACAUAGUUCAAUAGGGAGGAACCUAGGACAGACAACAGAGCUGUGACAGUGACGGUGUUCAACCUUGUUUUCCAAAAGCACUGUUUUUAAGUUCAAGCUAGUUUGUGCAUUAAUUACUUAUAGGUUGGUCUACUGAAAUUCAUUAAUAUCAUGUCGCUCUUCAGUUCCCUUUCAGCUGAUCCAGAACGCUGAAGCAAGAGAACUAAUUUGGUCUAGAAAGAGGGACAAUAUUUGGCACUCUGGUUCCUUCAGCCUUCGAAUGGUUCUUCUAUUAUGGAACCAGCUUGGAUUCGAGAGACACACUCUUAAGAUUAGGACAUUUACUUCUAACGGUGUAUAUUGCAAUAUAGCAUAAAGAUGGUCGUUGUGUUGUUGGAAUAUUUAUCUGGAACCACUACAGAUUGUCUCAUAUGUAUUUUAUUACUUUCUUAUGAUUGAAGAACUAAGCCUGGGUCAUUACAUGUCAGCAAUUGACUGAGUGUACAAAGACUCUGUUAAAUAAAAGGUGCUUUGCAUGCAUUUCUUUGAUGCCUUGGCUAAGCAAAUGAACUUCACAGCAGUUGUUUACAGUACUCCACAUGCAUUUAAUCCUGUAACACUGGUCAUUCUGACUUUGUGGUUCAGUCAAUGUAAAGAAAGGCCAACUUAAAGCCUCACAGGUUCCCAUGAACUGGGAAACAUUAACCCCUCAUGCUCAUUAGCCACGUGAGUGGGGCCUGAAUAGAUGGACAGGCCUCCAUUUUGAGAAGAGGAGGGGGAAGUUCAAUCAAAAUCCACCUGAUUCUUGGCUGAGGUCCGUGUCAACUGCUGUGUUGUUGUGUAAAGCAGAUAAUGUGAUUUCCGGACAACAGUUCUCUUCACACUUCUCUGCAGCAGCGGCCCCCUGUGAGGUAAAACUCCUUAAGAUGAGCUCCAAGAGGGAGAUUUUCUAAAUACACUGGACUUAAGCUGACAUUCAAUAGGAUCCUGAGCCAUUCAGGAUGCUACAGCCUGGUCCAUUAAAGUGGCUAAGAACUCGCACAGCACUCCUUUAUAUUUUAGCACAGGGUGAUACGAGGUGAUGAAAUGGGCGGAGGAGCUGUGUCAGCCAGUGGAACGGAAGAGUAAUGGCUGACUUCAGAGAGCUGAUCUAAUUUCCACAUGCACACUCAAAUUAGAAAUUAUAUUAAUGCAGUGUCACACAGGAAUGUAUUCCCAAUCCCUCAUCGUAAACUCGGCCAACUCGUACAGUGAUUGUUUUUAUUAUUAAUGCUAAUUCAAACCACUUGCAUGAAUCACGGCUCUUUGUAUUAUGCUGUACCUUGUCACACCCCAUCAUUAUGUUCUAAAUGCUGUUCAACUCUAUGAACCUGCCUUUCACUAGCUGGGCCCACGUCCUCAUUUUAGGUGUGACAGCGUUUUAGUAGGUAAAAGUGAAUGCUUUGACAUGAAUUGAGCUGCGGUUUGGGGAAGGCCUCGAAGGGGACUGGUGAUGGCUCCUGGGCCUGGCAGAUCCCCAAAGAAGGCAUCCCCUAGAAGCAGUAAUAACUGUACGUUACGAAGGUUGGCGACCUCAGCUAGAAUAAUUCAAUUUUCAAUUCAACUUAUUUAUAUGGCACCAAACCACGGUGACAGAUGCCUCAAGACCCUACAAUGAUGUCUAGAGGAAAAACCCAACAAUCGUAUGACCCCCCAAUGAGCAAGCACUUUGGCGACAGUGGGAAGGAAAAACUCCCUUUUAACAGGAAGAAACCUCCGGCAGAACCAGGCUCAGGGAGGGGCGGGGCCAUCUGCUGUGACCGGUUGGGGUGAGAGAAGGAGAACAGAACAAAGACAAGUGCAGGGAGAGCAAACGCUGAGUGACAUCGCCACCCAAAGGAGAGGAAAAUAACUGGUGGCAGGCUAGCGAAGCUGAACAGCUCUCAGUAAGAUAGUCGAGGAUUCCAUGGAGUGGAGUGAAUGAGCUCGGACAAUUAGGAAGGAAUGGCAGGAGAAGAGAUCAAAGGAAACUGUGAACAACGGAAAUCUUAAUAGAUGAAUGAGGGGAACCCUCGAUCAGGUAGCUACAUGGCUCGACUUAAACUGAAGCUCUGACAGAGAAGUACGCUGGAUUUUGAGAUUUGAGGUAAGGCUUGACAGCUCGUAAAGCUUGUGUGAGCUUGUCUUUGAGUAGAAGAUGGAGAGGGGGUGCUUAGCAGGUUAAUUACUUCAGAUAAGGUAUUGAUAACUACUGUGCUUAUUUCUGAAAUGAACAGAAGUGACAGCAGCAGCUUGGGGAGGGUUGAUGAAUUGAAAAACUGAUUAGAGGAAAAUCGUCUUCUAUAAUAUUAACCCCCCAAAUCAUCAGAGAGUAGAGUGCGAGUCCACUGAACUUCAUUGGAGAUAAUAAGCUGUUUAGACGUAGUCGGAACCGUGAGUCGGCUAAGAGAGCGGUCUCGAAUGAUGGUGUCGAGGGUGGAUGAUAGAUAAUGCUCAUGAAAGCACAUGAGAAGGGACGCCAUGAAGAAUUAUGCACAUGGCGCAGAUUGGAUGUCUUAAAAGGAGCGAUAGAGGACAGAACCUGGCAUCCCGGUGCCACGAAGGUUCGCCGGUGCUUUGCGAAGGCAGGAAAGAUGGCAGAGAAACUGGCAUCUCGGUGAGGGAACAGUUUGCUGCUACAUCUUGUGGAAGACUGGCAUCCUGGUGCCAAUGCUGCUACUGUGUUAGGAUAGGAGGGAUAGAGGAAGAGAAGCUGGCAUCCUGGUGGCAAAGCUUGCUACUGUAUUUGGAUAGGAGGGAUAGAGGAAGAGAUGCAGGCAUCCCAGUGCCAACACUUGCUACUGUAUUGCAUAGGGGGGAUAGAGGAAGAGAAGCUGGCAUCCCAGUGCCAAAAACAUGCUGCUGCAUUUUGCCAAUAUGGGAUACGGGAAAAGGAAACUGGUGACUCGUUCAAAGAAAUGCUUGCUGCUGCGAUUGGAUAUGAGGGAAGGACCAAGCAUCCUGGUGCCACGAAAGCAUGAUGCUGAAUUUUGUGAAGGAUGGAUAGAGGAAAGGGAAACUGGCAACGCAUUGGUAGAAGGCUUGCGGCUGCUUUUGUAAAUGAGGGAUAAGGAAAACCUGGCAACCCAGUGCCUUUUUUCCUUUUUUCUUUUAAGCAGAGAAACUGGCCAUUUUGCAAAUGAGGGAUGAGAACUUGGUAUCCGGGGCUAGAAGGAUUCGUUGCUGCUUUUUGCCAUGAUAGAUGCGGAGAAACAGAUAGUUCGGUAGUAGGGAAGCUAGAUGCUGCGUUGCAAAUGGGGGAUGAAGGAAAACCUGGCAACCCGGUGCCUUUUAAUUUGAUUCAUUUAUUUAUUUUUUCUAUGCUGAGAAACUGGCAACCCGAUGGUAGAAAAGCUUGCUGCUGCUUUUGUGACUGAGGGAUAAAGGAACCUGGCAACUCAGUGCCUAGGUUUGCUGCAGAAUUUUGCAAAGCAGGGAGAGAGGCUGGGAACCUGGCAAUGUCUUGCCCAAGAACACAACGACCAAGACAGACAAAGCUGGGGAUCAAACCAGCAACCUUCCAAUUGCGAGAUGAGCUUCCCAACCCCCUGAACCACGGUCGCUCCUAAAGGAGGAAGGAGCACAGAGCUGAGCUUGUCCCUGCUACCUGGCGAAACUGCUAGAAGGUCAUCAGCAUUCGGUCUCUCGGAAGCGCUGCCGUGAAGUUCGGUGUAUUUCUUGGAUUGCCGGAGGAAAAGCGAUAAACGCAGAGGUUGAGUAGUUGUUCAUCUGAUGUGCUGACGGAUGAGAGGACGAUUGUAGCGAAUGGAAAGGAGGAGCGUGGGACGAGAGCGAGCAGUGAGCACGGGGACUGCAGAGACACAGGAGCAGAAACAAGGACGUUUUGGGAAGAAGACAAAGCACAGGAGUCAGGGGAGAGCACGGGGUUUUGUAUGAACUGUUUACAUUACUGUAAAUAAACGCACUGCUCAUCAUUCAUCAGUCCUGCAUCUGGGUCCUCAUUCCCCACUUCCCAUGGUCUGCCACACAGACCGUGACAGAAUAAUCCCGCCAGAUGGACCCAGCAGACUCAACGGAGAGGCUCAGGAGGGAGGCGACGGACAGAGUAAAUAUGCUGUGUGAGCUAUGGCUGAUCGCGUCCGGGGAGGAGUUUCGUCGCGCCGUGGAGAGCUGAUUGCAGGAGAUGCUUUUUCGCUUCCCCUGGGUGACAGACUCUCUCUAUCCUGUUGUGGCAGAUUUUCUGCUUAACACCCUCCAUCUCUACUCUCCUACUUAGGCUGCUCACCAGCCCGGACAGCCGGUAGAUUUACAGCCUGACACGCCGGCCCCGUCGUCUACACGGAAACGAUGUUCGCGCCGCCGGCGCUCCUCACCAUAGCUGGAUUCCCAGACAUCUCAACAGCCGGUUGGGCGGCUGUGCCACCAUCGUCUCGUCUGCCUGCAGCCACCGCUCUGCCAUCUUCUCCACUAUCUGCUGCUAUGGCGAAACCCGGACCUGCUCAGCCUGAGCCGGAGGGGCUCGUGCCGCCCGCCAGAGCUGCAGCGCUGCCACCACUGGUAGGCUGCCUGAACUCUUUGGUUGUAGUCGCAGGUCACCUGAACUGUGACUGCUGCUGUCAAACCCUUAACAGGAUGCCUGACUGCCACCGGGUCGGCCGCCUGAACUGUUUUGCUGCCACCACGGUAGUUGGGGGGUCAUUAAACUGUUUUGUUGCCUCCGCUGGAGUCGCGGUUGAGCCUCUGGGACUUUUGAACUUGACGGUUUGGUCAUUUGGGGUUUGGUCCCUGCCCUCCAUCCUGGUACCCCCCACCGCUCGCCUGUGUUUUUUUGUUUUUUUUUUUCUUUCAGGGUCGUCGGGAGUACUGUCACGGACCCGGCUCUGGGGCCUUGGGGAGCCUGUGCUGCCAGCGGAGGAGCUCAGCAAGCUGGAGGAUCUCAGUGAGCCGGAGGAGCUCGUGCUGCCCGCGGAGGAGCUCAGCAAGCUGGAGGAUCUCAGUGAGCCGGAGGAGCCCGUGCUGCCCACGGAAGAGGUCAGGGAGUUGGAGGGACCAGUGCGUCCAGCACGGCCACCACGUCCAGCGCGUCUACGUCCUGCGCGGCCGCCAAGUCCAUGCCCACGUCCUUCACGGCCCCCACAUCCACGUCCAGCACGGCCACCACGUCAUGGAUCGUGUGCCAUGCUACACUGUGGCUCACAGGAGCUGCACCACCGCCACUGGACCCAUGGCAGGACACCUGAGAUGCAGCACCGCUGCCACUGGACCCAUGGCAGGCCACCGGAACUAUUUCGCCGCUGCUGCCGGACCCAUGGCCACCCGCCGGAGCUGCGGGGUUAGUGUGUGUGUGUGUGUGUGUGUGCAGCUGAUUUCUGUUGGCCAAGUUACAGGCACCUUCAGGCCUGGUGGGUGUGGCCCUGCUGGAGGACUGGCCACGCCUGAAGUCCUUGCCACACACCUGCUGCUGAUCAGGACUCGUCGGGGGAGCUAUUUAGGAGAGUGAAGGAGCUCCCACCGACGCGGGAUUAUUGUGAGGAGCGUGGGACAAGAGAGAGCAGUGAGCACGGGGACUGCAGAGACACAGGAGCAGAAACAAGGACGUUUUGGGAAGAAGACAAAGCACAGGAGUCAGGGGAGAGCACGGGGUUUUGUAUGAACUGUUUACAUUACUGUAAAUAAACGCACCGCUCAUCAUUAAGAGUCCUGCAUCUGGGUCCU